CAUCAAGCUUUCUUCAGGAAAUUCGUGGAGAAUCAAAGGUUUUGGGGUGAAAGGAAGUCUUCUUCUUUAAGGUAUCAUUUGAGCAUGAGAAUGGUUGUUGAUUGUGAGUUUAGAGUGAAAAUUAAAGUUGUGCAGGCAAUGGACGAACUGAUGCAAACAAUGCCUGGUACGACUUGACGCACAACCUAUUGUUUCGUGUGUGGUUCGGUUUGGUUCGCUCCUUUGUUCGAUGUAGGAUCAAGGAUGCAUUCCAGAGGGUUUAAUAAAUUCGUUUAAUUCAGGUAUUGGGUUUUAGCUUUAGUAGCCGUUAGGACGUGUGGUGGUGAGUCGAGCACCAAGUGAGUUCCCUUGCCCUUUUCUAAUUGUGGAACUGUUUACUAUUGUUUUUAAAAGCUCUGAUUAUGGUUUUUAUAACGUGGCAUUUAAAUGAUUACUCGUUAAAGCAUUAUUUAUCACAUGUGAUAAUGUUUGUCGUUACUUGUUUGGGCAUGUACAGUAAGAUUAGUGUACCUUGAGAUAGUGGAAUCCCUUGGGAGUAU